rnacentral:rRNA from 1 species
GUAGUCCACGCCCUAAACGAUGAAUACUAGGUGUGGGGGGACUGACCCCCUCCGUGCCGGAGUAAACACAAUAAGUAUUCCACCUGGGGAGUACGACCGCAAGGUUGAAACUCAAAGGAAUUGACGGGGGCCCGCACAAGCAGUGGAUUAUGUGGUUUAAUUCGAAGCAACGCGAAGAACCUUACCUGGGCUUGACAUCCAACUAACGAAGCAGAGAUGCAUCAGGUGCCCUUCGGGGAAAGUUGAGACAGGUGGUGCAUGGUUGUCGUCAGCUCGUGUCGUGAGAUGUUGGGUUAAGUCCCGCAACGAGCGCAACCCUUAUUGCUAGUUGCUACGCAAGAGCACUCUAGCGAGACUGCCGUUGACAAAACGGAGGAAGGUGGGGACGACGUCAAAUCAUCAUGCCCCUUAUGUCCAGGGCUACACACGUAAUACAAUGGCGUUCAACAGAGGGAAGCAAAGCUGCAAGGCAGAGCAAAUCCCCAAAAGGCGUCUCAGUUCGGAUCGUGGGCUGCAACCCGCCCGCGUGAAGUCGGAAUUGCUAGUAAUCGCGGAUCAGCAUGCCGCGGUGAAUACGUUCCCGGGCCUUGUACACACCGCCCGUCACACCAUGAGAGUCGGGAACACCCGAAGUCCGUAGUCUAACCGCAAGGAGGGCGCGGCCGAAGGUGGGCUUGAUAAUUGGGGUGA